AUCGUCUGGUAAGGUGUGAUGAUUGGAUUUUCAUGCCAUUGUGUGAGAUGUGCCUUCCUCAGACCUUGUUAUGACAUUGGCUUGUUGCUUGUCUGUGG